AUUGAACGCUGGCGGCAGGCCUAACACAUGCAAGUCGAACGAGGGGGCGAAGGGUGAGUAAUGACUGGGAAACUGCCUGAUGGAGGGGGAUAACCAAUGGAAACGGUAGCUAAUACCACAUAGUAUCGGAUGUGCCCAGAGGGGAUUAGGUAGUAGGUGGGGUAAAGGGCCACCUAGGCGACGAUCCCUAGCUGGUCUGGGAGGAUGACCAGCCACACGGGAACUGAGACACGGUCCAGACUCCUACGGGAGGCAGCAGUGGGGAAUAUUGCACAAUGGGCGCAAGCCUGAUGCAGCCAUGCCGCGUGUAUGAAGAAGGCCUUCGGGUUGUAAAGUACUUUCAGCAGGGAGGCGUUACCUGCAGAAUAAGCACCGGCUAACUCCGUGCCAGCCGCCGCGGUAAUUC
rnacentral:rRNA from 1 species